AGUCUGGUGCCAGCAGCCGCGGUAAUUCCAGCUCCAAUAGUGUAUAUUAAAGUUGCUGCAGUUAAAAAGCUCGUAGUUGGAUUUCGGAUUAAUGGGAAGUUAGGGUCCAUCAUUUCGAUGUGUACUUUAUUCUCGUUUCCUUCCUUUUGAAUACACUCCUUAAAAUUCUUUUAAGGAUCAAAGUGUUUCAAAUCUUUUACUGUGAAGAAAUUAGAGUGUUCAAAGCAGGCGUAAUCUAGCCUUUGAAUAUAUUAGCAUGGGAUAAUGAAAUAGGACUUUAGUACUACUUUCGUUGGUUUCUAGGGCUAAAGUAAUGAUUAAUAGGGAUAGUUGGGGUCACUAGUAUUUAAUUGUCAGAGGUGAAAUUCUAAGAUUUAUUAAAGACUAACUACUGCGAAAGCAUUUGACAAGGAUGUUUUCAUUAAUCAAGAACGAAAGUUGGGGGAUCGAAGAUGAUCAGAUACCGUCGUAGUCUCAACCAUAAACUAUGCCGACCAAGGAUCCGGGGGUGUUAAAUAUGGAUGACUCUCCGGGCACUUAUAGAGAAAUCAUAAGUAUUUGGGCUCCGGGGGGAGUAUGGUCACAAGGCUGAAACUUAAAGGAAUUGACGGAAGGGCACCACAAGGAGUGGAACCUGCGGUUUAAUUUGACUCAACACGGGGAAACUUACCAGGUCCAGACACAGUGAGGAUUGACAGAUUGAGAGUUCUUUCUUGAUUCUGUGAGUGGUGGUGCAUGGCCGUUUCUAGUUGGUGGAGUGAUUUGUCUGGUUAAUUCCGUUAACGAACGAGACCUUAACCUAUUAAAUAGUUGCUUGAACACAUGAAUAAUUUAUUCUUUGUUUGAUUAACUUCUUAGAGGGACUCUUCACUGAGAGAGUGAAUGGAAGUUUGAGGCAAAAACAGGUCUGUGAUGCCCUUAGAUGUUCUGGGCCACACGCGCGUUACACUGACAUAUUCAACGAGCAUUUUCCUGACUCGAUAGGGUUGGGUAAUCUUCUAAAUGUAUGUCGUGCUGGGGAUAGAUCAUUGUAAUUAUUGGUCUUGAACGAGGAAUUCCUAGUAAGUGCAAGUCAUCAACUUGCGCUGAUUACGUCCCUGCCCUUUGUACACACCGCCCGUCGCUCCUACCGAUUGAAUGGUCCGGCGAGAACUCAAGAUGGAUAUAGGUUUUGGGCACCGUUAGGUGAUCCAACUAUUUCCAAAAUUUGUUCAAACCUUACCAUUUAGAGGAAGGAGAAGUCGUAACAAGGUUUCCGUAGGUGAACCUGCGGAAG
rnacentral:rRNA from 1 species